rnacentral:lncRNA from 10 species
GCGCGCCGCUAGGCUCUGCUCGCGUAAUUUGUCCUGUAGUGACCGCGCCGGGGUUUCGGGGUGGCCCGAGGCUGCGCGCGGGCGUGGCGGCCGGACGAGGAAAGCCCUGGUCUCGGGGGUGGCCGGGGUCGCCCCGCCGAGCGGACAUCCUGGGGUCCCACCUGCCUCGCUCUCCGCCAGCGGGAUUAGACGGACUUCGGGAAAGUCCUCCCCAUCUCCUUCCCUGCCCCCAAAUCCCGAAGGGGUCCCCUCUGGAGAACCUCCCUCCUGAGCGGCCCUGCGGCCCCGCCCCCAGAGUUGGACGCCCGCUGUCGGGCACCCGCUGCGGGCCCCGGGCCUUGCAGUGCACUCUCCAGGCACCACACCGACCCUAACGAGCGGUUCCUGGGCCCUUUUUGCAGACAAGGAAACUGAGGCUCAGAGAUUCUUUUCAUGGCAUUAUAGCUAAGUUGGGCUGGGCCAUUAUUUGAUUUUGGAAGAUGAAAAAUCAUGAAAGGGACUUAGAAGUCCACUGGAGGUAGACAGGUUACCUAAAUGAACGCCAGCAGGGAACGAGCCCUGCAAUCCCUCCCGAGGGCUACAGACCUGAGACGGGCUCCAGGAAAAGGAGGGAAGGCUCGCCCCGACACCGACCCGGGCUUCCGCGGUGUGAGCCAGUUUCAGCGAGGAGCUAGUUGGUUAUGACCGGAACGUGCCGUAGGAAGCAGGACAGACAGGCACCGAGGCCUUUUGAAAGGUGAACACCCUGAAGCCCAGAGAG